rnacentral:pre_miRNA from 1 species
UGGAUAGAUUAUUGUAUGCGACUAUAUUCACAGCGUGAAACAGGGGAUUGCACUGUUUUUAAACGGAAAAUGAAUCAAUUAACAUAAUAGACUCCU